AUCAGAUGUUUUAUUUUAUAAUACUGAUUUUCUUUUUAUACUACAAUCUAAUAACUUAUAUCACAUUAUGCAAAAGACACUCUAAUAGCCCUUCUUUCAGAUCAUUGAGUCCCUUUCAGCUGUUCCAUCCCCUGAACUUGCAUUAAGGUUGUACCUGCAAUGUGCUGAGGCAGCUAAUGGCUGUGAUAUUGAGCAUGUUGCGUAUGAAUUUUUCACACAAGCGUUUAUAUUAUAUGAAGAAGAAAUUGCGGACUCUAAAGCCCAAGUGACUGCAAUUCAUCUGAUAAUUGGGACUCUCUAGAGGAUGAAUGUAUUUGGUGUUGAGAACAGAGAUACUUUGACACACAAAGCCACAGGAUAUUCAGCUCGGCUAUUGAAGAAGGCUGAUCAGUGCAGAGCUGUUUACGCAUGUUCCCAUCUAUUUUGGGUUGAUGAUCAGGAUGGCAUAAAGGACGGGGAGAGGUCUGGACUCAAAACUUGUCCUUUGGUUUAGAUUUUUUUUCAUGUAAACAUUAAAUUCGAUUCCGUUAAACUGUAAAUUGUUGUGUCAUGUAAAGAAGUAAUGCAUGGCAGUUAGAGAUGUAAAUAGGCGUUUAUUCUGGAUUUGGAUUUCAUACUUGCUUGAUUAUAUCUUUUAUUAAACUGUAAAUUAUUGAGUCAUGUAAAUUGUAUUAUAUCUUUUAUUACCAAGAUUUACUUGAUUAAGAAAAUGCAUUGUAUUUUUUAUUA